GCAGCCCUGCAGCUGAUAAAAGGGACUUCUUGGGCUUUGCUUGUCUGAUUUUGUCACCAUGUAGUUGUGGAUGAGGCAGUUCUGGAGUAUCCAUUUUUCUCCGUUGGCCAGAAAGGGAGUUUCUUUCUUGCCCAGAUGAACGUGUCUGCAACUGACCCCUUGAAAUGCUUCAGGGACAAUAAUUAUAUGGCUACAAAGCAAAGAAGGAAUCCGGCUGACAGAAAGGGAGGGGCUGGUUGAGGUGGGAAUGAGAGCAUACAUGAAAUGAUUUGUCGUCUCUUUGUAAAUUGUAUGAGAACAACCCAAACAGGCCACUGCAGCUGAAGAAAGUGAAUUUCAAUGAUCUGAUAUCUUCCAGGCAAAAUCCCAUGGGAAGCGAUUCCGAGGAGAGGGGCUUAAAUAACAGACAACAGGAGCACAAGCGCUGGCCAUCCCAGAGCAAAGCGUGGGCUGGGAGUGCCAAAGGAGCCAAAGAGAAGUUCUUCAUUGGCUUCAGAUACAAGACAGAGCAUACAGAGAGUGACAACUGCUGCGGUACUCGGGGCUGCUGUGAAGGAGUCGUAUGGAAAGGGAAGGACCGCUUCACAGAAGGAGGGUGUAAUGAGGAAUAUCGAAGGUAGAAGGAACUGUAAGUAGUACGAGAUGGAUUGAGAAUUGGACCACUGCUUGGCAGAAAGGGGAAGGUACGGACAGGCAGGUCCCUGAGAAGUUGUGCACCCAUCCACAGCUGCUUUGAUUAUGAGCUCCCCACUGAGCUUCCUACUUUCUCUGUGCUGGUUUUUAUCAGGCCAGUUGGUUUCUUUCUUCUAAACACCCUGUUUGGCCUCUUUGAGCAUCAGUGCAUUUUUAUUCUCCAUAAAUCUGAUGAAGUUUCUGUUUAUCCCAAGGAUUGCUAUUGUUCUUUAAAUAAUAGCAAUGCAAGUAGGUUGGAGGUCUCCUCGGGCAGAGCCGUAGGACUGAUGGGUGCAGGCUGGCUGUGCCUGCUGGGCUCGAGUCUGGAUUGCUAAUGGUGGCUGUUCAGUAUCCACCUUAGUUCCCAAUGGGUUGGAAAGCGCUUUGUGAUGUGGCACACAUACACCAUUCCCCUAACGACGGAACCGAAGUAUUUCAUCAACACUUGCACGUUUUGACUCUGCAGUUUGCAGGUGCAAAGUUUCUCACUGAAUGGGAGAGUAUUUGUGGCAGGAACCAAGACUGGAAGGGCUGAGGCGGAUGGCUGAGCGCAGAGCCGAAAGGUGGUGAUGCUCACACAGCCCCGCGUGAAGGCGGGAUGCAAUUAGUGCAGAACGUCUGCUUCAAUAAAUCACCGCAAAAAGUGCUGCGCUCAGGGAAGACUGCUGUGGGACUGAUGGGGGCAGGAGAUGCCCCGGUCAGUGGUGUCCAUGUGAGUUGCAAGAAGGAAGGAAAGAACGGAGAACAGAGAUCGGAGACCAUCAACAGACGUUUCAGAUACUGACACCAACAGCACUUCUGAGGAGCCGGACCUGCCCACACCCCUCAGAAGUCAGCUCUGUGCAGUCCCUGUGAGCCCUGUCAGCCUUGGUUGGGUUUCACCUGUCUGCACACUCUUCUCCUCAGCCAGGCCAUGGGAAGUCUGGGGUGAAGCUGAGGAUGCCCAGUAUCAAAGGGAUAGCUGCGUGGCCUGAGGAGCAGUGUAAGAAGAUGGCUGGAAAUACGGCCUGCCUCCUGCUCCCACCUGAGGGUGGGCUGAGGAGGACACAAUGGGCUCUGUGGUUCCGAGAUGAGAGAGAAGAGUAGCAAAGGGGAUUAAUCAGGCUGAAGAAUCUGGCUGCAAGGCAUCCUGACGGUGACUGGAGCAGCCUGUGCUGCUGAACUGGUUCUUCUUCACUCAUCACAGCUUCAGGGGAGGUCUUGCAGGAAUCUAAGAACACUUCAGGAAAGAGCUGAACUCUGGGCUGGCUGCACAGAGCCCAGGGAGCUGAGACGACGGCAGGAAACCUACAGACCACAGCAGUGUUUGUAGUGCUCAGCCUCUGGACACAUCCUGGGGCUUCCUUAUGCCUCAAGGCUAGUUAACCACUUGAAUGAGGAGGGAGCUUUUCCUGCUUGCUCUUUAUUCUUUGGAUCCUCCCUGGACUCAGCCUGUGCUGGCAGCACUGUGAUGCCGCAGCAGCUUCAGGAACGCCUCUGACAGCCCCAGAGCUGCGAGGGAGCAGCUACUCUGCAUGCAAGGAGGAGCACUGCGUCUCCUGAGCCCUCACUUUAAGUCAUGCAAACGGUGUUUGGAUGUUUCUGAGCCUUGAAGUGCCUCCUGUCUCCCACCUCACAUCCUUCCUGACAGCUCCCUGCUCCUGUGCUGGAGGAUGUGUGCUGACAGAGGAAAAGUACUGUUGUCUUCCUGAGACCCUCCAAUAGGGAGAGCGGGUGUUGGGGAAUAGAUUUGCAGGGCAGAGGGCAGGGAACAGCUCCUGAAUGUGCCCCCACACCAUUCCGAAGAAGCCAGUACUGAGGGAUAGGGAAUUAGUUGGUUCCUUUUCACUCAUAGCCCUCACUGAGCAAUACCUGCAUGGGAUAUUACCACCCCACCAGCUCAAUGCAUCCUGGGGCACCUCCAUCUCCCGUGGGAGUGGGCUGGGCACGCUGGGCAUGAGCUGCUGCCACAAGAGUCUGCUCUGUGCCAGCAGCAAGCGGCCACCAUCUGCAGCAGGGAGGGAGGCACAGAGAGGGGAAGCGAGCUGCCAUUUCCCAUUGCCAUCGUGGUCAUGCAUUUAGUACUGCCAUAUGAGAUACCCUUUCCACUGGGAACUGUCGCCCUGGGGUGUGAGCUGUACAGUGCCUGCAUGGAGCCAGGGUGAGGUGUGCUAUGUCCCAGUCAAACCUGAGGCAGCAGCCCCAUGCUGUCUCACUCACACUCAUCAGUUGAUCCCUCAACCCCAGCAGCCUGCCUUUGGUGCUUCCCUUCUGUGUAGGAACUGCUGAGUCACGGCCUGAACCACUGAUGGAUCACCUGGGGAAAGGACCCGGUCAGCCCUGGGAGCACAGGUGAAGGCAAUUCAUGUUUGUGACCAGAAGGGGUGGAGCCUGACUGCACCUCUCUUAGACCUCAUUUCAGGGCUGACUGCCACUGGGGAAGGAUGGUGUUCUGGAGAUCCCUCCUUGGUGAAGCUUUGCCCUGUGAACCUGGAAUCUUCUGAUUCAGCCCACCCUUGGAUACCGACAGGCCGCUCUUCUCCUUGGAGAAGUUGGGAGUCCUGAACGCGUCCGACAAGGCUGCGUUCCGCCCCGCGUACCAACACCUUCGCCGGGUUCAGCCGUUAAUUACCCUGAAACGACGGAGGCUCUUUGCGGCGCUGGGCAGGCAUCUGCCGUGGGGACGGCGGUGGCCGAGGGGCAGCUCGGCGCGGUACCGCCCGGCCGGG
ensembl:lncRNA